AAGUUUCUGCCUGACAUCUUUGCCAGAUUUCCCAUGGGAUCUUACACAACCUCUGGCCUUUAGGAGAAUAUUGCAAUAUGUGAGGAAAAGAGAUCAUGGAAUUCAUGCCCCCCAUUUCUAAUCUAUUCCAAUGGAAAACUUUAUUCAGUAUUAAAAAAAUGACUCACACAAACACUUUCCAGUGUUCUCAGUCUGUCCCAAAGUAGUUCAACUAAAAUGCUGUAUAUGAACACAGGCUUCUGCCUGAAGUUCCACUUUUCCCUGGCCCUUGCUCCUCCCUCCUGCAGCUCCACCCAGUGCUGCAGGGCAGCCACUUAAGCAGAGGCCACUCUGUCCCCUGGCUCCCAAGGCAGGCAGGCACUGGAGCCAGACUGCGAGCUGUCCCUGCACCUUUGGGCCCUCCUGCUCCUUGUCUGAAGGCCAGAAGGAUGGUUUGUGGGGAUGGAGCUCACAGGAAGCUACGUGGAGCUGGAUUUUCAGAUGAAAAUCUGUUUAUUCUCAUGGUAUUUACACUGUGAGAAUUCAAGCUAAUAAUUUUGGUGCCUGCAUGAAAGAGACUUUGGCAGUUAAAGCACAGACUUUUCCAGGGCAGCAGAAUAUGGGAUUUCCUUUGGAAAUGAGAGGAGCACGUUGUCUGAAAUGCUCCUUCCUGCUUACUCUCCAUAGUCACUCCCAGUCACAGCUGCUUGCUAAGGACUGGGCUGUAAAAGGAUCUGUCUGCCCAGCCUGCCUGAGCCAGAGUUUACUGCAAAACAGAAAGCACCCAACUCCAUGCUUGUCCCUUCCUGGAUCAUGGCACAGGGGCUUUAUUGUUAGCUCAGGUUGCCUUUUUUCUUUCCUUUUUUUCCCUUUUGCCUUUUUCCCUGAUUCUCCUUGACAGCUGCCACUUACAAAGAGCUCAGGGGGAACUGGUACCAGCUGGGAAUAGGCCUAAUUGCAGUCAAGCCCAAAUUGCAUCCUCCUGAAGAAGAUCCUUCCCUACACCUUUAAUCCUUCAGUUCUUCCCACCCAGCCUUUAUUAGGGAAGGGCUUCCCUGGGGAAUGUCCCAUUUUGUGUUCUCCAUGAGACCUGCUUCUCCAUAGAUGCUUCUCUGCUGACUGCAUGCUGGUUCUCACUGAUCCCCAGACCUGCCUGCUGCAGCUCCUCUGUGCUUGCAAGCUUAUUAGAAGGUGUUUGGUGCCACAGACUGUGCUGGAGACACUUCUGUAUUCAUGCCUGGCUGGAAGGGCUCUUGCGCCUGAAGCACAGAGGAGAGGUGGAAAGCUGGGAUCUGCUGCAAGCCACCAACCCAACCCUUCUGGUUGGUAAGAUUCAGUCAAAGAGGAGAUAAAGAACCCACGCUUCCCUUGCUCAGCACUCUGGCCAUGUAAGUGGGCCAAGAUGGUUUCCCUGCUCUCCCUGGUGAGGCAUAUCUGUGGAAUCAAGGGUGGCACCAGCUGCACACCCUGCACAGUCACAUGCUGCAGGGGCCUGCAAGGCUGCCCCAUGACUCCUGGAUGAUUUAUGUGUUUUCCAUGAUCCUCCUUUUCAGAUGCAGUUGCCAAGCCUGCACAGCGCUGUUCAGCUGGGAGGAGGCUAAUACACUCAGUGCAUCUGCCUCCAGACUUUACACACUGCGAGAAGCUUUCACAAAUGAAAGGACUUUUGUUGUCUGCCUGCCUUGGAAAUACUCUCCAAGAUCCAGGUUCUGGAGCUCUUUCCCAGGCUGCUGAAGCAGCAGGAUCUGCUUCUUUCACAUUCUCCUAUGGUCCUGUUGCAGUCAGACAGAAUACAAAGGAAAAUCCACUGCUUAAUUUUUGAGGGGAAGCUUCUUCACAUAUUAAAACCCAUCCCGCACAUGUCAGCCCCAACAGAUUCUGGACGUGAACCAGGGGAACUCAGAGCCGGCCCCGUCCCCAGAUGCCUGCACACCUCCUGGGGGAGCACAACCAGCAGGGCUGGAAGUCCUGGAGAACAGAUCCCUGACCUCAUCCUGUUUUCUGGAGUCCAAGUAACCAUUUACCUUUGCAAGGGGAGAAUAACAAUGUUUACGGAAUGGUGUGGGGAUGCAAUGUGCCUGUUUGCUUGGAUUUUGGUGGAGCCUUUCCUUGUGCUCACAAAAACAUGAUUGGGAAAGGCCUCAGGGAGCAGCUUUACUUACAGUCUGACCCAGAGGAGAUGUCUGUAAUUAAGCACAUAUAUACAUGUAUCAUGUAGGUUUGACUCUGAUAUGAGUAUACAUAGGCAAUACAUUAGAGGACUUUUCUAGACCAUAAGACAAUGUUUGUUUUAAAAUCCUUUAUGACACAUAUUAAUGCUGACCAUUGUAGAGCACUCUGCUGCAGAGGGAUCAAUGGCCUUCACACCACAGCUAGUUACAGCAAAUGGAUCAUACCAAAUCCAGGGCACUUAAGAGCCCAGUAUUGGUCUCUGCAAUUUGUAUAAAUCAGAAUGCCCUCUGCAUUUCCUGAAGGACGGGGCCAUGAGUACAGACAGAAACUACAAUUUAUUCUUCAAACAAUUGUUUUUUUUCUUAAAUAAAGUGUUUGCAAUUGA